GUCUCACUUGCUCUAAAACUGAAAUCUCCAGUGCCAACUCACUGCAAGGCACCAAAUAUAUGCUCGUUUUUAAUUGAUCAGAUACUUUCAUAAUUUGCAGAGGCAACUAGAAUUGGUUGACCCUGAAAAGUAAACACUGUAAUGUUUGUUUGAGAAUCCUAACCAGCCCAACACAGCUUGAGCACGAGUUGAAAAACACACAGCAACAGUUUUAACUCGGGACUGUGUUUGCAUUCAGGACGGUUCUCUCAGGAGAAGCGGCUCUUUCGGGAAACUCAGGGAAGUCCUGCGCAGAAGCAGCGAGAUGCUGGUGAAGAAAAUCCAAGGAACCAUGCCGCCAGAGCCUCACAGCACAAACAUGAAGAGAGCCGCGUCCCUCGGUUAUCUGAACAGUAACGGAGAUGAGGGCGACUCUUUUCAGGGUUCGGGAGCAGCGAGGACGCUGAGAAACAGCAGGCCUCUGAGCUCAAGCACAGUGGAGCUGUACAAAAGCACAGACCAAUGAAAAUGCAUGCAUGUUCUGACUCAUUUCUCACUCGAUUUGUAGGCUUUGGUUCAUGUGCUUUCAAUCAUGAACGCUUUUGGCUUUUGGUCUGAGUUUACACAUAUAAAUCAUGCAUGUUUCUUUUUCUUCAAGGAAUGGUUCGUCCAGAAAUGAAAACUUAUUCUCAUGUGGACCACAAAAAACACAUUUAACUAGCAGCUCUUUUUCUGUAAAAUAAAAGUGAAUGGAAAUGGGUGCCGUCAGACUCCAAAAACAACUAAAAGCUCUAUAAAACUAACCUACUUGUGCACCAAAUUCUUCCUAAGACAUACUGUACAGACCAAAAUAUGGAAGCUUGUUUCUGCCAGGGAAUUUAAAAA